CCUAGUCAGGGCGAUGGCCGUGAAGCUGCCCGGAGUAAAAGAACGAAGAUGGAUUUUGCAUUCUUUUUGAGAUUGAACCAAAAUCUACUAAGAUGAAUUUCCAGAGUCUUCGAAUUGGACUUUGUCAAAUUUUAAGCUUCGAGGAAGGAAGAGGAGAAAGCCGCUCCGGCCAGGAAGGGGCAGUCGCCAAUUUUACUUUUUUGGCUACUCUCCUCACGGCCAGACCUUUUCCUCUUUUUUAAACAGAAUUCAGAUUUUGGGACAAAGGAGAGCCGAUCACUCGACUUGUUCAACCAAAUAGGAUUUUAGACCUUUAGUCUCCUCUCUUGUUCUGUGUGGGUCAGGUGAAGAACCUCCCAUCUAUCCAAGACUUGUACCUGUCCAGGACCAGGAAACGUGCAAGGAACAUCUCUACAGACCCUUCUCACCCAGGUUGCAGUCUGUUUGAACUACUCCCCUCUGGACGGCGUUACAGAGCUCGGUACGCCAAAAUCAGCAGACACAGAGACAGCUUCUUCCCCCAGGCUGCUCUGCUGAACUCACACCACUCUUAGAGUCUCAGAGUCAUUACUGUGCAAUAACAUCCUGCUCUCCACACCUUUUUGAAUUUGUCUACACUGUUUGUACUAUCUGUCCUCUCUGCAUCCAUUGCAGCCUGGUCAUCCUGAAAGAGGGACCUUCCCAUCUGUGGUCUCUUCUCAAGGUUUCUCAUUUCCCCUAGCUGUUUUGAGUUUUUCCUUGCCCUUUUGGGAGUUUAAGAUCAGGGGAUGUUUGAGAAUAUUUGCCAUUUUUCACAUGUCCUGUGUUGUUAGUCACCUAAAUGUUGAACAGAGGGUGUGAUUUACGGAAGUCAAAUUCCUUGUUUGGCACGCUCAAACAUGGCGAAUAAAAACUCUUGAAUCUUGAAGAAGGGGGACACGUUUAUUCUAUCAUGUUUAAGGCCUUUACGGGCGAGCCACACAGUGGAGUACUUUGAUGCAUGUGAUGGAAUAUUUUCCCGCAUAAAAAUUAUGGUUUUCCUGAAAGAUGCAAACUAUUUACUGUACCACUGCUUGAAGAAAGUGUCUCCUAAAAACUGUCAGCUGGUUAAUUUGAAUUAUUUUUUGUUUCAAUUUCAGAGUAAACUUUAAGUCCACCUUUAACUCGAAAAGGACUAACCAACUCAUCUUAAAUAACAACCAGUCCAUACCAUUACCCCGCAUCUAAUUUGAAGUGGUAGUAAUAAAAAUGUAGAUUUCAAAUCUUCUCAUCUUGGUGCAUUCAGCUGUUUAGUGGUGCAUGACAAUUUCUUAAUGUCUUAGAAUUCAAAAUCUCUAUUUGGGGACAUAUCUGAUAUGAGAUUGCAUGACAAUUUCUUAAUGUGUUAGAAUUCAAAAUCUCUAUUUGGGGGCACAUCUGAUAUGAGAUUAAAAUGCAAUUAAUUCGAUUAAUUAAUUACAAAUCCCGUCAUUUAUUAGAUUAUUUCUUUUACUCGGCUGACAACACUAAAUACUAUCCAGGAAUCCAGAUUGAGUUAGGUAGCAUAGUAGGUAGUCAUAGUAGAUAUUCCGGAACAGAGACAAGUGGAAAAAAUGUACGUUAACAGUUUGUAGUAUGCGUUUCUUCAAGCGGAACAAGACAAUAUUCAGUUUAUGUUGAUUAUAGCGGCACCAUAUGGACAAAAUCGAUAGUGUUUUGCCUAAAGUCGACCACAUUUCUCAUAAUGCCAGCGUGCAGUGUCAUGAUAUCUUGAGCGCUCGCUCAGUUGCAGUUGGAUUGAUUUACUCUUCUGCCGAGUGUGAAGUGGUCGCAUCAGGCUCGGUGGUCCUUCUUCUUUGGCCACUUCAACUUCAUGCUCUCAUAUAGGCUGGGUUUCCGCAACGCGAAGGCGGGGGCCUUGUCAAGUGCACCACCCUUGCCACACCGUAAAUCUACCAGAGGAUUCUAGUCAAUCAAAAUUUGUUCUGUACAUUGAUGAAGAAUGGAAAUAAUAGGAUGCAUGCAUACGCACCUACACACACAACCUUGUCUGUUUCUGUUAGUCAUACACACAAACACACUCCAAAAGACAUUUGUGCCUUUAGACAUGAAAACCAAAAUCCAGUAAUGCACACAGGUAGAGCCCGUAUGGACAGCACAAGUGCUUGUGUUUUCUGUAAUUAUCUGUAGUGGUACCUUUGUGAGUCAUUGACAGUUUCUCCAUUAGUUUUGAGAUAAGCCUCAGAAGACUGAAGCUGCCUGCUGUGUUUAUUAAAAUCAUCACAGCCCUUACUCAUUAAGUCAUUGCACACACUGAGUGCCAACAGCAAACAUAAAGCCAACCUCAAAAUGCAUUUGGAGACACAAGGACCUGUGUCAUGAAUAUAUGGUUAACCAAAACAUGAAUUCAUCUGUCUUUCCCUAGUUUUAACUUAACUUUUAACUUUAACUUUUAAUUUGUAAGUCUUCAUCAAAGAUGUACAUUAUUUAAUUGUACAAUUCUAAAUGUUUUCAUGUUCAUAUCUGCCAUAACCGAGUCCUGAUGUUCUCUCCAAAGGACAUGUUGUAAAAAAAUAAAUAAAAUCAUGUUUUGACUUUUUUUUUUGCUGUGGUAAUGUCACAAUUAUAUGGUGUAAAAAAAAAAAAAAUUCUAAAAAAAAAAAUAUAUCUGUGGGAUAUACAUUAAAUAAGACAGAUGAUAUGAACAAUGAGGACUGAAAUGGUGCAAAUUAACUGUUAUACAGAGGUGACCCACUUUUAAGUCAAGUCAAGUCAAGUCAAGUUUAUUUGUAUAGCCCCAAAUCACAAGCAGUCUCAAAGGGCUUCACAUAGACAAGGUUUUAAGGUUGACCUGCUACCUUUUUAGACAAUAUUUGUUUUAUUUCACAAUUUUAAGUUUACCUAUUUGUUGCUUUAGCAAGUCUUGGUAUUUUUACAUUAUUUCUACUCAAAAGAUACAUUGCUUCUAUUUGAUUUAUAUAUGUAAUGUAGGUAUUGUGUUUUUUUGUAAUUUUUGUGAUCUUUUUGUGCUACAGGACCAAUUAAUGCCCCUUUUAAUUGCUUUUUGGAUAUAAAUUCAUGAAUGGCAGCUCAACCAGGACAAAACUAAGGUUUUAGUUACUGGACUGACUGGACUGACUGGACUGACUGGGCGGACGGACUGACUGGGCGGACGGACUGACUGACUGUACUGACUGGGCGGACGGACUGACUUAAUGGACUGACUGGGCGGACGGACUGACUGGCCGGACGGACUGACGGACGGACAGACGGACGGACGGGACGACGGACGGACGGACCGACGGACCGACCGACCGACCGACCGUCUGUCCGACUGUCUGACUGUCUGACUGACUGACUGACUGACUGACUGACUGACUGACUGACUGAGUGCUAAUGGGACGUCAAACGCUUUGUGUGGCGGGCUCCAUCUAGUGUGGAAACUGAGAAGUGCAACAGAGUUGAGCUCAAGCUUCUUGUGCAGCCCAUAUUCAAUUAUGUUUCCAGAAUUUGCUAUGGGCCAAUAAAAACUGGACCGCCGGCCGCAGUUGGCCCGCGGGCCGUAGUUUGGACACCACUAAUGUAGAUAGAGAUAGAGAGUGGGUCAGUCAGUCAGUCGCUUGCUUCCUUGGUUUAUUGAACAUACAAACAUUAAAUGUUAAAAUUUGAGAAAAAAAAAAUAAUCUAUUGUAAAUUCUAAGUUGUUUACCUGAUGUUUACAUGACUACAUGAUGGAAGUACAAUGAACUUAUCUAGCCCCCAUCCCUAUGUUUUCUGUUAUAUUUCACUUAGAACAAAAAUGACACUGGCAGGCUAUACUAAAUUCUUCCCAAGGCUAUUGUAGACAGAACAGAAACGCAUUUCUAUUACCACACUAUUUCAUAAAGAGUCUAUAUUAUAGACGUAUGACACACACAAACACAUUACUGGUCCGUAGAUCAUUUGGUACCAGGCCGCACAAGAAAGCAUAAACAACUAGCAUUAUUUCUGUUUUAUUUAUUUGAGUCUGAAUGAUCUUUUAUUUUGAAAAAUGGACCAGAUUCUCGACUACACCUCGGUGAAAUGAACAUAACAUUACUCAUGUUUUGUUGGCACGAUGUUAUGAGGACGCUGCGACUAAAGUUACAUAGGUGUUCGCAUACCAGCUCAGUGGCCUAGUGGUAGAGUGUCCCCCCUGAGACUGGAAGGUUGUGGGUUCAAACCUCGGCCGGGUCAUACCAAAGACUAUACCCUGCUUGGCACUCAGAAUUAAGGGUUGGAAUUGGGGGGUUAGAUCACCAAAUGAUUCCCGAGCGCGGCACCGCUGCUGCUCACUGCUCCCCUCUCCCCCAGGGGAUGGAUCAAAAUCACAUGGGGAUGGGUUAAAUGCAGAGGACAAAUUUCACCACACCCAGAAGUGUGUGUGAGACGGUCAUUGGGACUUUAACUUUAAAAUACAUGAUUCCCACAUAAACUAAGGGUUUUCACUCUUUGUUCAAUCUCCUGCCCUCUGGGAAGAGGUACAGGAGCCUGCGCUCCCGCACCACCAGACUCACCAACAGCUUCAUUCUCCAGGCUGUUAGGAUCCUGAACUCUCUCCCCACUUCUGCGUAGCGUCCUGUACUUUUGCACUAUAUUCUGACUGUCCGUUGUAUGCACACUUGCUCCAUUUCUGCUCCUCUUAUUUAUUGUGUUAUUUGGGUAUUUAUUAUUUAUUCAUCACUCUUAUUUAUUCAUUGUUUGUGCCUUCUUGUUUUUACUAUUAUUAUUUUUUUUAUUUUUUUGUGUUGUUUACUUGUAUGUAUAUUGUGUACUGUCUUGUCACCGUGGGAUAGUGGGAACGUAAUUUCGAUUUCUUUGUGUCUUGGAAUGUGAAGAAAUUGACAAUAAAGCAGACUUUGGCUUUGACUUUGGUUAAAAA